rfam:Salmo salar isolate Sally breed double haploid chromosome ssa27, whole genome shotgun sequence.
UUCCCUGUAGCUCAGUUGGUAGAGCAUGGUGUCUGCAACGCCAGCAUGGUGUGUGCAACGCCAGGGUUGUGGGUUCGAUUCCCACAGGGGGGC